rnacentral:rRNA from 1 species
UGGGGAAUCUUGCACAAUGGGCGAAAGCCUGAUGCAGCGACGCCGCGUGGGGGAUGAAGCAUUUCGGUGUGUAAACCCCUUUCGACCGGGAAGAAUAUCCGCCUUUGGCGGAGGUGACGGUACCGGUAGAAAAAGCACCGGCUAACUCUGUGCCAGCAGCCGCGGUAAUACAGAGGGUGCGAGCGUUAAUCGGAAUUACUGGGCGUAAAGCGUGCGUAGACGGUUAUGUAAGUCGGGUGUGAAAGCCCCGGGCUCAACCUGGGAAUUGCAUUCGAGACUGGAUAGCUAGGGUGCGGAAGAGGGAAGCGGAAUUUCAGGUGUAGCGGUGAAAUGCGUAGAUAUCUGAAGGAACACCAGUGGCGAAAGCGGCUUCCUGGUCCAGCACCGACGUUCAGGCACGAAAGCGUGGGGAGCAAACAGGAUUAGAUACCCUGGUAGUCCACGCCAUAAACGAUGAGAACUAGACGUUGAGGGGGUAAGCCUCCCAGUGUCGUAGCUAACGCGCUAAGUUCUCCGCCUGGGGAGUACGGCCGCAAGGUUG